GACGUAGGUGGCAAACGUUAUCCGGAAUUAUUGGGCGUAAAGGGUGCGUAGGUGGCCUGCCAAGUUAUCCGUGGCAAAUCGAGGCUCGACCUCGUGGAAACUGGUAAUACUGUUCGGCUUGAGUACAGGAGAGGUUAACGGAACUCUAUGUGGAGCGGUAAAAUGCACAGAUAUAUAGAAGAGCAUCAAUAAAGGCGAAGGCAGUUAACUAGUCUGUUACUGACGCUGAGGCACGAAAGCGUGGGGAGCAAAACGG
rnacentral:rRNA from 1 species